UACGAAGGGGGCUAGCGUUGUUCGGAAUUACUGGGCGUAAAGCGCGCGCAGGCGGCCUUUUAAGCCAGAGGUGAAAUCCCGGGGCUCAACCUUGGAACUGCCUUUGAAACUGGAGGGCUUGAGGUCGAGAGAGGUGAGUGGAAUUCCGAGUGUAGAGGUGAAAUUCGUAGAGAUUCGGAGGAACACCAGUGGCGAAGGCGGCUCACUGGCUCGAUACUGACGCUGAGGUGCGAAAGAGUGGGGAGCAAACAGG
rnacentral:rRNA from 1 species